GGGCUUGACAUCCCACGAACCUGCCUGAAAGGGCGGGGUGCCCGCAAGGGAGCGUGGAGACAGGUGGUGCAUGGCUGUCGUCAGCUCGUGUCGUGAGAUGUUGGGUUAAGUCCCGCAACGAGCGCAACCCUCACCCCUAGUUGCCACCGGGUAAAGCCGAGCACUCGAGGGGAACUGCCAGCGUCAAGCUGGAGGAAGGCGGGGAUGACGUCAAGUCAUCAUGCCCCUUACGCCAUGGGCUACACACGUGCUACAAUGGCCAGUACUAAGGGACGCGAGACUGCAAGGUGGAGCUAAUCCCAAAAAACUGGUCUAAGUUCAGAUUGCAGUCUGCAACUCGACUGCAUGAAGGAGGAAUCGCUAGUAAUCGCGCAUCAGCACGGCGCGGUGAAUACGUUCCCGGGCCUUGUACACACCGCCCGUCACACCACGAAAGCUGUCUGUACUCGAAGUCGCUGAG
rnacentral:rRNA from 1 species